rnacentral:rRNA from 1 species
AGAGUUUGAUUCUGGCUCAGAACGAACGCUGGCAGCGUGGAUUAGGCAUGCAAGUCGAACGAGAAAUCGCAAGUUCAAUUCUUCACGGAAAAGAACAUGUGGUAGAAAGUGGCGAAAGGGUGAGGAACGCGUGAGUAACCUACCCUCAAGAUUGGGAUAGCUUACCGAAAGGUGGGAUAAUACCUAAUGUGGUCUUUUGUCGCAUGGCAAGAUGACUAAAGGCGGGGAUCCUUCGGGACCUGUCGCUUGAGGAGGGGCUCGCGUCCCAUCAGCUUGUUGGUGAGGUAAUGGCUCACCAAGGCUUACGGGUAGCUGGUCUGAGAGGAUGGUCAGCCACACUGGGACUGAGACACUGCCCAGACUCCUACGGGAGGCUGCAGUCGAGGAUCAUUUGCAAUGCGCGAAAGCGUAACAAUGCGACGCUGCGUGGAGGAUGACGGCCUUCGGGUUGUAAACUCCUGUCAUUUGGGAAAAAUAACUCGACUCCGAAUAGGGGUUGAGAUUGAUGGUACCAAAAGAGGAAGCCACGGCUAACUCUGUGCCAGCAGCCGCGGUAAUACAGAGGUGGCGAGCGUUGUUCGGAUUUACUGGGCGUAAAGGGUGCGUAGGCGGUUUCGUAUGUCAGAUGUGAAAGCCCAUUGCUCAACGAUGGAAUUGCAUUUGAAACUGCGAGACUAGAGUGCAGGAUGGGAGAGCGGAAUUCUUGGUGUAGUGGUGAAAUGCGUUGAUAUCAAGAGGAACACCGGUGGCGAAGGCGGCUCUCUGGAAUGUUACUGACGCUGAGGCACGAAAGUUGGGGGAGCAAACAGGAUUAGAUACCCUGGUAGUCCCAACCGUAAACGGUGUGCACUUGGUGUGGGUAGGAUUUGACCCCUAUCCGUGCCGGAGCUAACGCGUUAAGUGCACCGCCUGGGGAGUACGGCCGCAAGGCUAAAACUCAAAGAAAUUGACGGGGGCCCGCACAAGCGGAGGAGCAUGUGGCUUAAUUCGAUGCAACGCGAAGAACCUUACCAGGGCUUGACAUAUAACUGCACGCCCCGGGAAACCGGGGUUCCUUCGAGGGUGUUAUACAGGUGCUGCAUGGCUGUCGUCAGUUCGUGCCGUGAGGUGUUGGGUUAAGUCCCGCAACGAACGCAACCCUUGUGUCUAGUUGCCACUUCAGGUGAUAAGCCUGGAAGCACUCUAGACAGACUGCCCGUACAAGCGGGAGGAAGGUGGGGAUGACGUCAAGUCAGUAUGGCCCUUACGUCCUGGGCUGCACACGUGCUACAAUGGUCGGUACAGAAAGAUGCAAUAUCGCAAGGUGGAGCAAAUCUCAAAAGCCGGCCCCAGUUCGGAUUGGAGUCUGAAACUCGACUCCAUGAAGUUGGAUUCGCUAGUAACGGCGCAUCAGCUACGGCGCCGUGAAUACGUUCCCGGGCCUUGUACACACCGCCCGUCACAUCAUGAAAGCCGUCUGCACCCGAAGUUCCGGUUUUACUGGACCUAAGGUGUGGGUGGUGAUUGGGAUGAAGUCGGAACAAGGUAGCCGUA